GAUGAACGCUGACAGAAUGCUUAACACAUGCAAGUCUACCAAGAAUCACUUCGGUGAGGAAUGGUGGCGGACGGGUGAGUAACGCGUAAAUAAUCUGCCCUUUAGACUGGGAUAUCCUUUGGAAACGAAGGUUAAUACCGGAUAUUAUGAGAUGGACGCAUGUUCAACUUAUGAAAGCUAAAUGCACUAGAGGAGGAGUUUGCGUCCCAUUAGCUAGUUGGUGAGGUAAAGGCUCACCAAGGCCACGAUGGGUAGCCGGCCUGAGAGGGUGAACGGAGACAAGGGAACUGAGACCUGGUCCCUACUCCUAGGGGAGGCAGCAGUAGGGAAUAUUGGACAAUGGACCAAAAGUCUGAUCCAGCAAUUCUGUGUGCACGAUGAAGGUCUUCGGAUUGUAAAGUGCUUUCAGUAGGGAAGAAAAAAAUGACGGUACCUACAGAAGAAGCGACGGCUAAAUAUGUGCCAGCCGCCGCCGUAA
rnacentral:rRNA from 1 species